AGUCGCUGUCUGAAGUUAGACAGCAAAAUGUCAUUCUCGUGACCAAAAUAAGGCUUUGCUUUCUCUGUAUACAGCCUACUUGAAUUCAGAUAUGCAAUCCAACUGCAGCCGACCUUCAGCAUGACAUUCACUGCAGUAGUGCUGCUUACAUCGCCUGAAUUCAGCCUGACUGCUUUAUGUCACGUUUUGACAAUGUCCCAUCAGAUAUGCGAGGAAGAUCUUAAUUUCCUUUUAUGUGUGGAUCUCAUGAAAAGCAGAAGGAUCCAGGCUUCUGGGGAUAUGACACACUACUGGUUUUAUCAGUGGAAUUGUAUCAGCCUGCAUCCAACCUCGUGGUUCUCUCCCAUUUCCACUGCCUGCGUUCCCACUGAUGGAUGAAAUUCCCUUUUCUAAACUGCCUCUCACCUUUGCUGCUUUUUACAGGGAUUGGAAGGUGCUGCUUCAGGAAAUAGCAGGUGUCAGAUGCUGUAAGCCUGAAUGCUUUCUUCUUGCCUUCUCUUGGGAUUUUCCAGCAUCAUGGACUCACGGGGAUAGCAAGUGAUGAGCUACAUGUCUCUCUGCUCACUCACCCACGAGGCAUAUAAGAGAAGUUAUCUUUCAUGGCAAAACUAAGGACAGGCUAUGCUGAAAGAGAUCCCCACAUAAAUUACGGGCAGUAGUCACAGCCUGCUAUUCAACUUCAGCACUGUAAUUUUUGUUUAUUGUCCAGAUUACGGUCUAACCAACUAGAGGCAACAGCAGCUGAGAUCAGACCUGCAGAACUGCAAUGAGGAAGUGCCAGGAUGCAGUGUUCCUCCCUCCUGAAAGAUGUGUUCACGUAAGGAGGCGCUUACAGGAAGAAAUGUCCAUGAUCAGAUGAAAAUGAGACUUCAUCUCAACUGCAUUCUUCUCAGGAGGUCAACGUGGAAUCUGCUGGCACCAUUUACUGAGCCACUCAUACUUUUAACUUCAUGAUCUGUACACUGAUGGAAGAUUAUCUGUCUCUUUUGGAACUGCCAUAUGCUUUUAGUUGCCUAAGUGAAUGAGACAACCCCAGAUUGUCUGUAAGGACGUGGAUCCUAGUGGGCAUGGUGGAGAUGGGUUGAUGAUUGCACGAAUAUCCGUGUUGCAUUAAUGUUUUAGUAGAGGGUAUUUAAGUAAAAGCAGUGUCAGAUUUUAUGUGCAAAGACAGCAGAAGAGGGGGUUCUUCUAGGCUGCACGGUUCAGCAGUACAGCAGGAUGUGGGUCAAGUUCAUCCUACCAUUGCUUCUUCCCCUACAGGUUUCUUUGUUCCCAACUUGCCCACAGCCUGCUUUCUCUCUUCUAGCACACUCUCUACUUCUGCCUUUAAUUUUGCACGUUGCAGGUUUUUAAUCAAAUAACUGUAUUUUAGACCAUCUGACCUGUGGGUUAUACAUACAGAUGUAUGGUAUCAUUGGGAUGCUUUCUAGGGUGUUAGAAAAGGAAGAACAUAUUGGAGUGUCAGCAAAACUUGCUGAAGGUCACAGACAUGCAGUGAAUCAGAAUCAAAUGUUUGGAAGUUUUUUAACUGACUGAUCUGCCUGUCAGUGCCUAACAUAAUGUCCUGCUCAUUCAGCUGCUAUUUAAGUUACUUGCAAACAAAAAUGAUGGAGAAAGGAGAAAAGAAGGCUCCCAGAAGCAAAUGUAGCUUAUAACCUGAAAUGUAAUUCUUACUGAUUUAAACAAGUUUGAUUUUUUUUUAAAUUUUAAUUGAAAAUUGAAGCUCAAUAAUGCAGGAAAAAGAAUCUCCUCAGAGAAGACGUUUGGACAGACUUUGACAUAGAAAAAUCCUUUCUCAAACCAAUGAACUCGCUCUUAGAAAUGAUGAGAACAUAAAUAUGGAUCCCCAACUAACCAACAUUUGUUUGCUGUUUUCCAUUUUUGGAGUACUGUCUUGGGAGAACCUAAGCAGACAGGAACUUUGUAAGGGUAUUUCUCUAUUGCUUGUCUGAUUUUACUGCACCAGUCAUUUCCCUUACUGCAGGGAAAUGCGAACAUAAACAGCACAGUCUAUUCAAAUGUGCCUUUGCCUUUUAUUACGGUUAGAACAAAGUUUGUAAAGCAUUAUGUAAUAAUUAUUGCAAUCUAAGAACAAUCCCCAUUCUAUAGAGGCAGACACUGAGAAAGGCUCCUCUGCUGUGGGCUGAGUUCUGCACACCAGCUGACUGUAGGGCUCCUACAUUUUGCAGGCUGAGAAGGACCUUCUCAAAGCGUUACACAGAGCAAACUGUGCCGGUAUUCGCGCAGCUUUCGCGUCCAGCUGCCAUCUUGUGGCUGCCCAACGUAACUUCUCCUAUCCACAAUAGGACUGACAUUAUUACAAGGCUUUGCGUAAAACUGCGAGCUUAGGUUACACCCACAGUAAUGGCACACAUACCCGAGGUAUCCGUGCAUGCACUUUCCGGUGCUUAUGUAGCUAUUCGUUUGUGACUUAUUGUUUGGAGCGAGUUAUUUAUCUUGAAAUGGCCUGUUGCAGUAAGUAGUCAUGGUCAUUGUUAAAAGCUAGCACACCUACUAGCAAGAGUGUUAACGCUUCUAGUUUUGCCUUUAAAAGCAGUCUUUGUUUAAUGUACAUGAAAUAACUUAUGCUGAAUAUCAUAUAAGAGUUCUGAAGUCUCAGAAUUUAUUUUAAAAGAAAAUCAAAGGAUGUCUGAGGUAGAAGCUACUUAAACUGAUUUAAUCUAGUUCAGCCAGCUGUUCACAAUAGCACAGUUAAUACCCAAUAACAUUCUUAGUGUAGUUGCAAUAUAUUGAUGCCAAACAUACAUACAAUUUGAUUUGCAAUGUGGUAUUUAAAAUGCUUUAUUCCUCCUGCAGGAUGUGUAGACCUUCUAAACGGAACUUUUACUGGUAUAAAUAAGGAAGCAAACUCUACUGCAAGCUACAAUCUGAUGUGCACAAAGGAGACAGCACUUAAUGCAUGCAAAGGUUCAGAAGUAUUCAUACUGAGACAGGUGUACACAACUCAGAGGUCACCUGUUCACAAAAACUCAACCAAGUAAUGACAGAGAAAAUCCCUCUUGUAGCACCAAACUUGUCAACUAUUCUACUUGAUAGCAGUAUGAAUAAUGCAGGAAGAGAAAAUAUUGAGAUGGAUCUGGCAAAUUCUAUCCCACGGAACACAACAAAGAAAGGUCUCUACCUUGAAACAUAUUCAGCUCCAGCUACUCCAAGAAAAGGAUAAAUAUUACUAUUCGUGCUGCAUAUCACCCAGGCUCUGACAGUAGAAGGCCAUUUUGUACUCUUCCCUUGUCUGGUCUGUCUUCAGGCAAAGAAAACAGUUCGCAUUAGGACUCAGCCCUGGCACUUCAGCACAGAUCACAAACUGUGCACCUUGAAAACCAGCGACAGGUAAGACUCAAUUUCCAGUUCCAGAGGGCAAUGUUCUCCCAGAUCCCAGAUUGUAGUUCUAAGCUAUAAAAGUAUCUACUCACUGUUGAAAAUGGUGACUAGUGAACCACUUAUUUCCUUAUGUGGUCUCAGAUUUCCUACUGACAUGGAAACUGCUUCUGACUUGUGAAGCCUGCCUCUAUCUGCAGGUGAAAAGCACAAUUUCUUGUUUGUUUGUUUUCUUAUUAUUUUUGCUGGUUGGUUCCAAACUGUCAUGUGAUAACUCCUUCAUCUGGCUGGCCAUCCUUUUCAAUUUACUACUGAGUGAUGGCAUGAUUUGAGCAUUAAACAGUUGACCCAUCCAUGCAGGAAAAUUCAUCUCAGAACUCUGCUCAACACUCAGAAAUCAGAAUGACAGAGGCGCAGUCUCCAAAGUAACAGUGGUCUUUGGCUUUUAAUUUUCUCUUGGUGUACUGUACUCAUUGAACAGUAAAAUCCCUAAUGGCAGUGCUAAGCAUUCAAAUAGCCACAAGCCUAAUUUGUUUUGUGAAGAGGCAGAACCCAGCGCUCUUGUUCAUUUUUACCAGUAGUGUUAGUGGUUUUUCUGUUUGUUUGUUUUGUUGGCCUUUGAUAUAUAUAUAUAUAUAAUCUAUUGAAGUUCCUGUUUCCACAGCACGUUUCAAAUAGUUCCACAAUCCUGAGUCCCCUGUUAGCUGCCCUGCUACCAGCUACAGGACAACAUUUUCUAUUUGUGUAGAGCCAAAAAGUUUUGGACAAGGUUUGAUCCAGUUGGUAAGAUGAAUGAAUUGGGACAGAUUGGAAAAUUUCUUCCACUUAAACAAUCCAAAGACUUUUGAAACACUUUUUCUGUUUACUAUCAUAGAGUCAUCAUGGAAUCAUUUGAGUUGGAAGGGACAAAGCAGCCGUUGCAUAGGUUCCCUCCUGAGAUAUCCUGCUGCUGUGACUUUUGUUGAGGUUUGUUAACUGGACUUGGAAUGACAAUGAUUCACUUUCCUCUGUCAUAAGCUGUAGACUGAAGUCAGUCGCUCCUGCAGACCACGGUUUUAUUCCUCUCAUGGAAAAAGCCAGCUGGAUUAAAAGAUCACAUCAACCCACUGCUCGCAGCAAGAUUGGUACAACAAAUUCUAGUUUUGGACCUCAGAGGGAGGAGUGCAAUGUGCAACAUGAGCUCAAAAGGACUCAGUGGAAUUUCUGUUUUUUUCCUCAUCAAAAGAAAUAAACCCCUGUUUGCCUCACUUGGCACACCCUUUAGUGAGGACAUGGUUGACCUGACAGCUGGUAUGUCAGCAAAGCUAAACAAAACUCAUGGAUUUUGAAGUAUUUCGACACGCUUCCAGCUGUUGGUCUUGAACUUUCCACAUAGCAACAAUACCCACAUGAGCAGAAAACACAGCUGAGUUUUCCCGUCAGAAGGAAUCUGGCAGCACUCCCGAAAGAAGAAUCAAGAAAAAGUGACUACGUACCAGGUUAAAAUGCAAACGAAAUCAUAGGAAAAAUAAAAGAAUACGUGAUUUGUGUUGAACAGGUGAGACCUCACAAUGAAAUAUGAUUGUUUUCCGAGGGACUGCAUGUCUUAGACAAGUUGCACUGUACCCUGAAUGAGACAAUCUGCAGCCAAAGAACUUCAGCUCAGGGAAGCUUCCACACAGAGAAUAAAUACUUCUGACUUUGUGGAGCUGGUUCAAAUGCAGUCCUCAUAGCUCCAGCUAAGACCUGUUCUUCUGGCUAAAAUCAAUUGUAUCCUGGAAUUCAAGGCUAUAGGAUACAGUGGAUUCAGCUGCAAGAGCAUGCACAGCAGUUGGCUUCUGCCUGUUUCAGUGCAAUCUGUCUCUGAUCUUUAUUCUAAUGAAAAAGAUAAAGGCUUUUUAAUUCCUGGCGAGACGACGAUUGCAACUCCUGUCUGUCUUGCAAGAAAGUGAAGCCAGUGAUUCAUCCCCUCACAUCAACACACAGCCAGAGCCUUAUGAAGGUAAUUCAGUACAGGAAAGACCACCUGCAACAAAGGACAGGCUCUCUGAGCUGAGUGUUUUACUUGUCUUAAUGUCAAUCUGUUUCUUCAAAAAUAAGUGUAACUACAAAAGGUCACUUUUUUUCCAAAUAAUAAACCCCCAAAUUUGGCCAGGAAAGACAGGAAAUAUUGCACAUUCCACUUAUAAUAGAGAAGAUUAGAGUGGGAAACAGUAAAAUGAAAAUAGCUUGGGGCAUUAAUCAAAAGAAUGCUGAGUGAACACUGGAAUCCUUUUGUCUGAUUAUUUGUAUAUUUUUUUUCCUGUUUCUUUUUUCUCCUAGCAAGGUCUAUUGGUAACAUUUAAAAAAUUGUCCAUACUCAGAAGAUGCCCAUCUCUACUUGUACCUUGCAGCAUGGACAGCACUGAAGAAAAAGAGCUUGUAACCACAUGCAACAAUGUAGGUGAGGCAGUGAAAAGGACCAGACAGCUGGCAGGUAACAGAAGCAGGCAGAUGAUAAAAUGAAAAGACGAAGUGCUGAUGCUUACAUUACAAUCUAUCUUAAAAACUUGCAGUGGAGAGAAACUAAGUUUUCCAUAAAAGAAGGACUAAUCUUAACAGUGUGUAAAUAAGAGUGCAGUUGUACAAGACCAAGCCAUCUCUCUGCUUCUGGUGCUUAGAGGGACAUUUUCCAUUCACCUCUGCCACUUCCUUUUCUCUCCUCUCCUCACAUGCUCCGUAUUUGCAUUUUGUGAUUAUGAUAGCAAAAAAAAACCUAACCCAAUUAAGUACUUUUUGCCAAAUUAGAGAGCAGAAUUGCCUCACCAAGGGGGCCAGAUAAGCAGUGGAUCCAGUCAAAUGCCGAGAGCCAAUGAAACAGCGUAGGAGGAGGCAUGCUGCAAGGAGCAGUGAGAUAUAUUUAGAAGCCUAAAUUUAGACAUUUUGUUUAAUUGCCUAGCAUUUUGGAGCUUGUAGUCACUCUCAUUUGUAAGUAAUAAUCACUCUGUUUCAAAUAGCUACAGCAAAAGUUUGUAUGACAGAGAAGAUUGAAGUGGCAAAGGGUCUAAUUUGUUUUUGUAAACAAAGUCACUCAACUUUAACCAAAUAAAAGAAACAAAGGGACUUAAACUCA